UGAGCCCUUGCAGUUGAUUGUCCAAACGCAAUUCUUGUGAAAUUUCAAACACAACCCGAGAAUUGUGCAUGGACAUCUGUUGCU
rnacentral:pre_miRNA from 1 species